rnacentral:rRNA from 1 species
UACGUAGGGGGCAAGCGUUAUCCGGAAUCAUUGGGCGUAAAGCGCGUGUAGGCGGUUCCGUAAGUCCGCUCUGAAAGCCCCAGGGCUCAACCCUGGGAGGCGGGUGGAUACUACGGAACUGGAGUACGGAAGAGGAGAUUGGAAUUCCUGGUGUAGCGGUGAAAUGCGCAGAUAUCAGGAGGAACACCGGUGGCGAAGGCGGGUCUCUGGGCCGAUACUGACGCUGAGGAGCGAAAGCGUGGGGAGCGAACAGG